GCCAAAGGGGUGGACCUUCACAUGCAAGUCGACGGACCCUUCGGGGUUAGUGGCGGACGGGUGAGUAACACGUGGGAACGUGCCUUUAGGUUCGGAAUAGCUCCUGGAAACGGGUGGUAAUGCCGAAUGUGCCCUUCGGGGGAAAGAUUUAUCGCCUUUAGAGCGGCCCGCGUCUGAUUAGCUAGUUGGUGAGGUAAUGGCUCACCAAGGCGACGAUCAGUAGCUGGUCUGAGAGGAUGACCAGCCACAUUGGGACUGAGACACGGCCCAAACUCCUACGGGAGGCAGCAGUGGGGAAUCUUGCGCAAUGGGCGAAAGCCUGACGCACCCAUGCCGCGUGAAUGAUGAAGGUCUUAGGAUUGUAAAAUUCUUUCACCGGGGACGAUAAUGACGGUACCCGGAGAAAAAACCCCGGCUAACUUCGUGCCAGCAUCCGCGGUAAUACCAAGGGGGCUAGCGUUGCUCGGAAUUACUGGGCGUAAAGGGCGCGUAGGCGGACAUUUAAGUCAGGGGUGAAAUCCCAGAGCUCAACUCUGGAACUGCCUUUGAUACUGGGUGUCUUGAGUGUGAAAGAAGUAUGUGGAACUCCGAGUGUAGAGGUGAAAUUCCUACAUAUUCGGAAGAACACCCGUUGCGAAAGCGACAUACUGGCUCAUUACUGACCCUGAGGCGCCAAAACGUGGGGAGCACACAGAUUUUAUACCCUGGGAGUCCACACCGGUAAACGAUGAGUUGCUAUUUGUCGGGGUUGCUUGUCCAUUUGUGACACAAUCUUACGCCUCAUAACCCUACCGCCUUGGGGGAGUACUGGUCGCACCAUUAUAACUCAUAGGAACUUGUCGGGUGGGCGCACACCAGAGGCUGGAGAAUGUGGUCUAUAUCUUAAGAUGCACCGCACAACACUUCUCUACCACUUGUAUAGCUCGAGACGCCGGAUGGAUCACGGCGGUCUCUCCCUGAGAAUAACGAAACAAGUGCUGGCCUGGGCUGUCCUUCCGCUCGGGUUACGUACAGAUAGCGCUGGAUACACUACUAACAACCCACCCCUCAUCUUCUCCCUAUUGGAUGCUACGUCGACUGCCAGUGCCAAGCCACGCAAGUUCAGCUGAGAUAGCUCCAGUCCUUCACCGUGAGGUGGCUUCAAUGCUAACGGCAUAGGUAUGA
rnacentral:rRNA from 1 species